UGCAAGUCGAGCGGUAAGGCCCAGCAAUGGGUACACGAGCGGCGUAAGGGACAGUAAUGUGUAGGUACGUACCUCCGGGCCUGGGAUAGCUGCGGGAAACUGCAAUUAAUACCAGAUAAUGUCUCCGGACCAAAGGUGUGAUUCCGCCGGGAGAGCGGCCUACAUCCUAUUAGCUAGUUGGCGGGGUAACGGCCCACCAAGGCUUAGAUGGGUAGCAGGUGUGAGAGCACGACCUGCGUCACUGGGACUGAGACACUGCCCAGACACCUACGGGUGGCUGCAGUCGAGAAUCUUCGGCAAUGAGCGCAAGCUUGACCGAGCGACGCCGCGUGCGGGAUGAAGGCCUUCGGGUUGUAAACCGCUGUCAGAGGGGACGAAGUGCUAGCGGGUACUCUCGCUAGUUUGACAGAUCCUCAAAGGAAGGGUGGGCUAAGUUCGUGCCAGCAGCCGCGGUAAGACGUACCACCCGAACGUUAUUCGGAUUUACUGGGCUUAAAGAGUCCGUAGGCGGCCAAGUAAGUUGGAUGUGAAAUACCUCGGCCUAACCGAGGAACAGCAUUCAA
rnacentral:rRNA from 1 species